rnacentral:rRNA from 1 species
ACCAGACUCCUACGGGAGGCAGCAGUGGGGAAUAUUGCACAAUGGGGGGAACCCUGAUGCAGCGACGCCGCGUGGGCGAAGAAGCGCCUCGGCGCGUAAAGCCCUGUCAGCAGGGAAGAAAAUGACGGUACCUGAAGAAGAAGCCCCGGCUAACUACGUGCCAGCAGCCGCGGUAAUACGUAGGGGGCAAGCGUUAUCCGGAUUUACUGGGUGUAAAGGGGGCGCAGACGGCGAUGCAAGCCAGGAGUGAAAGCCCGGGGCCCAACCCCGGGACUGCUCUUGGAACUGCGUGGCUGGAGUGCAGGAGGGGCAGGCGGAAUUCCUGGUGUAGCGGUGAAAUGCGUAGAUAUCAGGAGGAACACCGGUGGCGAAGGCGGCCUGCUGAACUGCAACUGACGUUGAGGCCCGAAAGCGUGGGGAGCAAACAGGAUUAGAUACCCUAGUA